UACGUAGGGUGCGAGCGUUAAUCGGAAUUACUGGGCGUAAAGCGUGCGCAGGCGGUUUGUUAAGUCAGAUGUGAAAUCCCCGGGCUUAACCUGGGAACUGCAUUUGUGACUGGCAAGCUAGAGUAUGGCAGAGGGGGGUAGAAUUCCACGUGUAGCAGUGAAAUGCGUAGAGAUGUGGAGGAACACCGAUGGCGAAGGCAGCCCCCUGGGCCAAUACUGACGCUCAUGCACGAAAGCGAGGGGAGCAAACAGG
rnacentral:rRNA from 1 species